UACGUAGGGUCCGAGCGUUGUCCGGAAUUAUUGGGCGUAAAGGGCUCGUAGGCGGUCCGUCAUGUCGGGAGUGAAAACUCAGGGCUCAACCCUGAGCGUGCUUCCGAUACGGGCGGACUAGAGGUAUGCAGGGGAGAACGGAAUUCCUGGUGUAGCGGUGGAAUGCGCAGAUAUCAGGAGGAACACCGGUGGCGAAGGCGGUUCUCUGGGCAUUACCUGACGCUGAGGAGCGAAAGCAUGGGGAGCGAACAGG
rnacentral:rRNA from 1 species